rnacentral:lncRNA from 1 species
AAAGGUUUAUGCAGCAAUAUAGGAACAGUUUUUUUUUUUGGAUUUUCGAAUAAGGAUAACUAAAUUGCAGCAGCAGUAAGGUAGGAAACCAGAACCUGUUGCAAUUCACGGGGAGAUCAAAGGAUGAUCUGCAGUGGUGGAGAUGACGGUGGAAUUUGGCGAUGAUCUUUUAAGCAAUUGUGGGAAUUGCUUUGGGCGGUUGU